ACAAAUCCCACCCUUUCUCUCUCCAGUUUCUUGCUAACGAAGCAUACCCCUCCCUGCAAAACAGAAAUAUAACAAGCCCCAGAAAGGAAAACAAGAAAAGGGAAAGAGACCCAACUCAGUCGUCCACUCAUGAAGCCGAAUCAACCCCCUACCGCCGCCGCCUCCUCCUCAGCCGCCAAUACCCGGAUUCGGCCUCGACGGCGGCCCGACCUCACGCUUCCUCUCCCGCAGCGGGAUCCUUCCCUUGCCGUGCCGCUUCCUCUUCCGCCGACGUCGGCUCAGUCUUCGUCCUCCGGAGGGGCGGCGGCGGCGGCGACGCCAGCGUUCUCGGAGCUGGAGAGAAUCAACAGAAUCGGAA
rnacentral:lncRNA from 1 species